AGUUCUUUAAUUCUGAUUUUUGUUUAAGGUAAACUGCUGCAGGUUCUAGGCAGGCAUAAAGCACAGUUGCCUGGUCUCAAGCACAUUAUUGUUUUUAAGGAUAUUGCUGGCAAACCUGUCAACACAAGAAACUGUCCUCAGGAUGUGAGAACCUUAACGUUUGAGGAGGUCAUUGCUAUAGGGGAGGCGGGACUAGGUAAUAACUUUACUCUGUG